UAGGGAAUCUUCCACAAUGGACGCAAGUCUGAUGGAGCAACGCCGCGUGAGUGAAGAAGGUUUUCGGAUCGUAAAGCUCUGUUGUUGGUGAAGAAGGAUAGAGGCAGUAACUGGCCUUUAUUUGACGGUAAUCAACCAGAAAGUCACGGCUAACUACGUGCCAGCAGCCGCGGUAAAUCGUAGGUGGCAAGCGUUGUCCGGAUUUAUUGGGCGUAAAGCGAGCGCAGGCGGAAGAAUAAGUCUGAUGUGAAAGCCCUCGGCUUAACCGAGGAAUUGCAUCGGAAACUGUUUUCUGAGUGCAGAAGAGGAGAGUAGAACUCCAUGUGUAGCGGUGGAAUGCGUAGAUAUAUGGAAGAAUACCAGUGGCGAAGGCGGCUCUCUGGUCUGCAACUGACGCUGAGGCUCGAAAGCAUGGGUAGCGAACAGGAUUAGAUACCCUGGUAGUCCAUGCCGUAAACGAUGAGUGCUAAGUGUUGGGAGGCUUCCGCCUCUCAGUGCUGCAGCUAACGCAUUAAGCACUCCGCCUGGGGGAGUACGACCGCAAGGUUG
rnacentral:rRNA from 1 species